rnacentral:lncRNA from 1 species
UCAUUCCCCACUGCUGCCAGCCUGACAUGGAGCAUACAGCUAUGCAUUAGGAGCGCUGAAGAAUUAAAAGCAAAUUGAGAAGAAAUCAUGCAGUUUAGUUCAGUACUACCAAAAUUAAAGAGAGUUUUACCCAGUGACUUUAAAGGAAGCAGAACUACUGCCUGAAUAACAGUGCUUUAUGACUUACUCCUUUACUAUCAAAUAUAAACAUUAAUUUAGAAGGCUUGAGCCAUGAUUACGGUUUCUAAAUUACCUAUCAGUUCAGUCUCUCUGGUGACGCAAUCAUUUCAGCCUCUCUCCUCACCAUUCUGGCAAUGCCUGUGUCUGUCUGUUAUGUGAGUCUCUUGAGCAAGCAGAUCAUGCUGCUCUCAGGGACAAUGAAAGGCAACUUGGCCCUUAUCUCACAAGGCACCUCCACUCAGUCAAGCCUUCAUCUUUCUGGAACUGAACUAAUGUUUCUCACUUUGGAGAUUGAGGUUUCUGAGUCCAGUGUAAUGAUGAACUGCAAGCUGCUCCACAAGCAGAGCUUUUCUGAUUAAUAUAUUAUGUGUAACAAUACACAGCAAGUAAGUCACCUUGGGUCUGCCUUCACUGGAGUUAUUAACUGUGUCAGAAUAUGUUAGCCAAAAUGAUCAUAAUUUCUCCUAUGGAUUGGAGGAAGCUGAAUGUUAUGAUCUGAGUAGAGAUUUAAAAUAUGCCUGCUUCAGGUCUGAAAAGGCAAGAGAAUUCACAUCUGAGGUGCACAGCAAAUUUCUGCUUCUUCCUCAAGACGUCAUGAUUUGGAACAUUCAUUUUCUCACUGUUAAUUGAGUAAAAAGCCUCAACAGCAUGUUGCUUUGAGGGGAUUGCCAAAUAAGAGCAUCCUCAGAAAUUACCCUGUUGUAGUUUAACCCAGCAGCAGCUCAGUACCACGCAGCCAUUUGCACAUUGCUUCCCCAAUGGGAUGAAGGAGAAUUGGAAACAAGAAAGAAGUCGUGGGUUGAGAUGAAAAUUAUCUACUAGAACAG